GACGAACGCUGGCGGCGUGCUUAACACAUGCAAGUCGAACGGAAAGGCCCUGCUUUUGUGGGGUGCUCGAGUGGCGAACGGGUGAGUAACACGUGAGUAACCUGCCCUUGACUUUGGGAUAACUUCAGGAAACUGGGGCUCAUACCGGAUAGGAGCUCCUGCUGCAUGGUGGGGGUUGGAAAGUUUCGGCGGUUGGGGAUGGACGCGCGGCUUAUCAGCUUGUUGGUGGGGUAGUGGCUUACCAAGGCUUUGACGGGUAGCCGGCCUGAGAGGGUGACCGGCGACCAUGCGCCUGAGAUACGGACCAGUCUCGUAUGGGAGGCAGCAGUGGGGAGUAUUAUACAGCGGGACCGAGCCUGAGGCAGCGACGCUCCGUUCGUGAUGACGUCCUUCGGGUUAAAAACCGCUUUCGCCUGAGACGACGCUUGAGUGACGGUAAUGAGUAAAGAAGCACCGGCUAACUACGUG
rnacentral:rRNA from 1 species